rnacentral:rRNA from 1 species
UUGGAGGGCAAGUCUGGUGCCAGCAGCCGCGGUAAUUCCAGCUCCAAUAGCGUAUAUUAAAGUUGUUGCAGUUAAAAAGCUCGUAGUUGAAUUUCGGGGUCAGUAGGUUGGUCAUGCCACUGGUAUGUACUGGUCUCACUGAUUCCUCCUUCCUGAUGAGUCGUAAUGCCAUUAAUUUGGUGUUGCGAGGAAUCUGGACUGUUACUUUGAAAAAAUUAGAGUGUUUAAAGCAGGCUAACGCUUGAAUACAUUAGCAUGGAAUAAUGAAAUAGGGCGUUCGAUCUUAUUUUGUUGGUUUCUAAGAUUGACGUAAUGAUUAAUAGGGAUAGUUGGGGGCAUUAGUAUUCAAUUGUCAGAGGUGAGAUUCUCGGAUUUAUUGAAGACUAACUACUGCGAAAGCGUUUGCCAAGGAUGUUUUCAUUAAUCAAGAACGAAAGUUAGGGGAUCGAAGACGAUCAGAUACCGUCGUAGUCUUAACCAUAAACUAUGCCGACUAGGGAUCGGAUGAUGUUAGUUUUUUAAUGACUCAUUCGGCGCCUUACGGGAAACCAAAGUGUUUGGGUUC